ACAGCACUGACAAGGCCACACCUCCUAAAACAGUUCCACUCACUGGGAAGCAAAUAUUUAAACAUUAUGAGUUUGCAGGGACCAUUCCUACUCAAAUGAUUGGGGGGGCACAAGUGAUAUCGAAGCUGAGGUGUUUUGUUUUUUGUUUGUUUUUGUUUUUAAGCAAGGAGGAGUCCUGGGAAAGGAAAUGGCAAAAAAGGGGAGGGAGUGCAGAGAGCUGGAGCCGAGGGAGCAGCACAGCUGCAUGGAGGAGAAGGAUAGGUUCAGCAGAGGGAGUAGAGCGUGUGCUAUGGAGAAGUCCAGGAGGAAAGGAGAGUAAACAUGGAGGCCCGGUGGGCCAAUCAGAAGCCUAGAGUCUGCACUUGAUUGGACAGUUUCCAUUUGAGUGCUGUUGCUGAAUUUAAAUCAAGAGACAACACAUGUUUGAACACAGAGUAAUAGGGGCAGAGAGGAAGAAGAAAUGGACUCUCCAGAGGGGAGGAGGGCUGGAGACCUGGGAGUGGGAGGUCAGCAACUCCUCCAGCAGAAGGAACCGGUGCAGGUUUGGGAGGAUACUUCUGGGGAAAGCUGGCCUACCCCACAGAGCCCAAUGGGGAGGCUCAGAAAAAAGUGAGGGUACUGGGUAGGGAGGUGGGUGAGGCAAGAAAUGGAGGGUGGUAACCCCUCUGCCUUUUAAGUGCUGGAGGUCAGAUACCUGCCCUUAGGCUGGAGCUUGGGGCUCCUUCUCAAGAGGAAAAGAAUGGAGGAAGCAGGACUUUCAAGAGGAGGAAUGGAGGGACUUGGGGCUCCAGACCCCAUCUUGAAGGUAAGAUUGAAAACCAAAAUAAAGUGAUUGACAGAAAUCUAACCUAGUCUGGUUCCCUGGACCUUCCUCUUGUCAUCUUUGCCCAUGGCCAUCUUUCCAUGGUCUCUUUGGAGAGCAGACAAGGACUAGAACUUCCAAAUGGAGGUCCCAGGUUGUUUAUAGACAGGGUCCCUUCUGCAAGACGGGUCAUCAGAUGAAGUCAUCAUUAAUGUGAACGACAUAGAAAUUCUGCCUGGGAUGUGGCUCAGUGGUAUGGUCUAUGCUUGUUCUAUUUAAGACCUAAUGUCCAAUCCCUAGUGAGGGUACCCCUAAUGUGGAGUAAACACAUAGCAGAAACAAGAGGGACCCUUGUUUCAAUAAGCUCGAAGGACAGUUGCAACUCCUGGAAGCUAUCCUCUGGCCUCUACAUGUGCUCUGCACAUGAUCUCAUGCAUAGGGUCCAGUGGAAGCCAGUUCAGAUUCACCUGCUCACUCUCAGAUUCCCCUUACCCUUAAUAGCAGUGGCUCCCCUAGGCCAGUCGUCAGCUGCUGGACCCUCCUGUGUCUAGAGGAAUAGGGCUUAGUCCUGGAGCCAGAAAAUCCAUCUGUGCCACCUGACUCACCCAGAUGCCUGAGAUGCCUAGUCACAGCAACUCUGAUUCACACAUUUCAAUCCUUCACCAGAUCCUAGACACUCUCCUGUUCCUCUCCCCGUUCCCCCAACCACCCUCUUCUCUCUCUCCAGGUGACUAAAGGACUGACCUGGGCUUUUCUGCCCUCAGAGGCAGCAUUAACACUCCUAGGUCAAUGGAUUAGACUGUGGUUGAUUGUAAAAAGUCAAAGAGAGACUUCUCUUAUGCUUGAACAAUUCCUCCUCACUCCCAUUUCUUAUGUUCAUAUGACUUGGGGGCCAAGAACAAUCUUCUCUUGAGAAGAAGGAAUUGAAAAUGAAGUCUCUCCUUAGGUUUACAUACCAUUUUCUCUCUUCAAACUCUUCUGCACACAUUACCUCACACGUUUGACCUGUACAGCCAUGUUUGUUACUGAGGCCUCUGAGACUAGAUCCUGCUUUGCCUUCCUCACCAACUUCUAGUUCUUUCUGGUAGGAGUACAGGAAAGGCUGUCUACAAAGGAAAUGCUAUGAACACUUGAAAGGGGCUCUGCCGUUCCUCAGGAGUGGUGGGAACUAGGCUAAGGGAGGCACCAGGCCUGGAACAGUAGAGGCAGAAAUUCAUAGCACACACUGGCUUUAGUGUCUCAAGGAAAUAUGUUCUAUAGGAAACACCCCAGCAUACCUGGGCCAGGCCAAAGAAGACUGAUCUUGGCUUUAAUCAGGCUUUGCUUUUCAGUGAAUGGCGCAGUAAAUGAAGAGACAUUCAUGGCAAGUGAUUUAGGUGCUUAGGAUAAGUAAUGGUUGAGUGCUUGACCCUAAACAGGACAUUAAUACCACAUGCUUUAAGGUUCGGAUAACAUCAGAGGAGUGGAAAGAAUGUGAGAGUUGGAAGUUAGGGAGAAGGACUUCAAGCAGACACAGCCAUGGCAAAUGGUCUCAUAGCAGUUACGGUGGCCUACACUGGGCCUGCACAAGGUUGCCACAUCAACAGUCAGUAACGGAUGAAGGAGGGGCUCGUAUCAAUAACCAUGCUGAGCUAUUGGCUACUGAUGGACUCUGGGGAGGGCGAGUCACUGUCUUCAGUUAUGUACCCAAUCGUGAGCCCACCAAGCUCUGGUGGGUAGUUCCAAACACAGUCUGUGCACUCCUGGUUAAAAUCAGUGGGUUACAAAGCAAAGCUAAGAGGCACGAAUGUGGGAAAGAGAUUCGUAAGGAAGAAGAGGGGGAAAUUGGGGUGACAGGAAGAUAAAAGGUAGUGAGAGAAAACAGAAUACACUAUAUACAUGAGUAAAAUUGCCAAAGGAUAAGUUUAACCAAUAAAAACAAUUCGAAAAGAUGAGAACUCAGCACUAGCAAGAGUGAAGUGAUCCGUGACCCACAAAUCCCAGCCAUAGAAUGUCUAAAAGUAAACAAAAGCGGCACCCAUCUUUGUCUGUGUGUGCCAUCACCACUGACUCCCAUUGUGACAAAGGAAUUCAUUAGAGGCAAAGUCAUAAUACCACCCAGUAUGCAGUCAGAACUCCCAUGUCCAUACACUCUUUGCUGUCUCUGGGUUUACAGGCUGUUGCUUCCUUUCUCCCUUAUAGAUGCUAUUUGUUGAAGAAACCAGGUUAUUUUCCCCACAGAGAUUACACAGUCUGGAUUGUGCUGUGUGAACUCAAAGAGAAGCUGCACCUGUUACACACUCUACAAGGCUGGCCGGGUGUUUCCUGUGACGAGCUGGAGCUGUAAUCCCAGAAGAGGAGAUGCAAUUCUGAGCAAAAGUCCUUUGCGGAGUCUGCUCCAUUCGGAGGCACAUAGUGUUUCCUGAUUCUCUGAUGCCCACGGACACUGACAGUCAGUUAAGUUCACUGGCUCUGGUUCAAGCGUCAAUGAAAAUGGCUGUGCUGGUAUUAAUGUCUGCAUUUAAUAGCUGUGAUUCCUCCAGCCUUACCUCAUCACUCCAGUCCUUUCCAGUACUGUUCCUAUAAGAUGGGUAGAUAGAACUGGCUACCCCUUUCCUUGUUCUUUGCUGCUUUUGUUGUUUUACAGUUUUCAGAAUAAGCGUUUCAGGUUCAGUCUUUUGCUGUGUAUUGUGAUGCUAAAUCUGACCCCCCAGGCCUUGUUGCCCCCAGGGACAAGAGAAUCUGCACAUCUGCAUGCACAUGAGGUAAUGCUAUGCGACCUUGCUCCUCAAUUUAAAACUAUUGGUUGAGAUACAGAUGCCUACAGCCUAUAGCUGGGCAAAAGAGAGGUAGGUAGGGUUUGGGUUCCUGGGCUUGGGGUGAAGGUGGGAAGAUCACAAGGGGGAAGAAAAAAGAAGUGGAGAAGGGACAAGAGCCAUCAGGUAGAUGAAUUAUGAAAACAUGGUCAUGAGGGCUGGUCAAUUGGGUUAAGAGCAACCCAGAUGGAGCAUGGGAAGUUGUAACUCUCGGUCAUUGAUAGGGAAGUAGACAUCAUAGCAUAGAGGGUAGACAUCUGCCCAGCUCUAGUGCUGAUUAAGACUUAUCAUACAUAUAAAAGUGGUUGUCUUUUAUCUGGGAACUGAAUGAUCUAAGGCAGAUAGAAGCCCCGAUCUGAGACUAAAUAAUUACUACACCAAAUAAGUCUGCUCUUUACCAUGUCGUCCCAGGAGACCUAUAAGCUAAGUCUUGUUUUACCGUAAACUCGUGUGUUUUAACAAUGUUGGUGCAUGUUGUCCGUCUCACUGAUUGCUCUUACUUCUGUCAAUCAUCUCAUCUUGGCUUCCUCAAAUUUGUUUCUUCCUCUAAUGCAGCCUCUGUUGUCUUUGAUAGCUCCUUUCCCUUCAGGAAUGCUAUUUUUAAGUUAUAUGUUUGAUUGUGUGUAUGUGUGUAAGUAUGUGCACACGCAUGCAAAUGAGGUCAGCAGAGCAGAGAGCCCCGGAGCUCCAGUUCACGUGGUUGUCAGCUACAAGAUGUGGGUGCUGGGAAUCAAACUCUGGCCCUCAGGAGGUACGUGCUCUCAACUGCUGAGCCCUCUCUCCAGCCCAGAAAAUGAUGUUUUUAAGUUCUUGAAUUAUCUUGACCAUCUCCUGUCUUAGACAUUGUUUGAGGAAUCCUGACUCCCUUCAGUGGGACCGCUAUCAGGGCACUAGCUGAGCAUACUGCUUAGGGAAUGUCUAUUCCACCUCUUAGACCCCAGGACGAGCCCAGAGCAUCAGAAACAGAGGGAACGUUAUUAAAGGCCGGCAGAAACCUGCUUCCUCAUUCCAUCUCUCGCUCUACCUGCAUACUGAUUUGUCACUUUGUAGGGAACAAACACCCUUCUUUGCGUCCUGCAAGCUGUCCUUGCCUCCCUUUUGCCUUUGCCCUAGUCCAUUCUCAAUAAAAGGGAUGCCUUCCAACAGCCAAUCAGAACCUAGAUUCCAUAAAGGGAAAGAAAACACAAUUACAUAAAAACUAUUGCGUGUAAAGUACACUGUAAGCUCCAAAGAUGACAAACUAGGGGGAAUUCACUUAAAUUGUAUCAGAGCAAAAGUCUCAUCUGCCUAUAAAUCAGAAUAAUUCUUUAACCGAGUAAUUCUGAACGUGUACAAAAUGACUUCAUAGAGGGUUAUUCACUCCAGCCUCCCAACAAUUAAUCCAAGUGCCCUUCUAGUAGGACUAUUUUUAAAAUGGCACAUGCAGAAUAGAGUACUGGGCCAGUGAGAUGAAUCAGUGGGUAAGGAUGCUUGAAGCCAAAUCUGAUAACCCGAGUUUGAUCCCCAGAACCCACGGGGUAGAAGGAGAAAACUGAUUCAUGUAGGAUCCUCUGACUCUCCACACAAAAUGUGGCAUCUGCAGCGCACACCUACACACAGAGAGAACAAAUAAAUGAAAAGGGCACACUCCAUACUUUAAAAAAGGAAUAAGGAUGUUCUCUGUACAUUGAUAAGAAAGAUCUCCAGGGUAUACAAUGAUUAAUCAUACUCCAGAAAUGGUGUCUAUGUGUGUGGCAGACACUGGCAAGCUAUUGUCCCCCAAAUGUUUCCUAUUUUCACCUGGGCACAAUGCAGAUAUGAUUCUUAGCGUCCUUUGUAAUCAGAUGAGUUAUCGACUGAGUUCUGACCAAGAGGAUGUAAAUAAAAGUGGCUGAACGCCACUUAUUAGAGGUGAUCGAUACUGGGAAGCCUUACAAAAAUGAAUCAGGGCAUGUAGGGGAAGUCCAGUGGCAGCUGCAUCCCCAGGUUGAGUAAAACACAUGUGGACAACAGGGACAGCUCCCUUGCUGUUAGGCAAAAGCAGUGUAAACACAUGAGGAGGCAGAACAAGGCCAGUGUGGAGCAGGCUGGAAUUGGAAGUAGUGGUAUAGUUCCUUCAUUUAGUAGAGAAAGAGGGCCAAGAAGGGGACAGAAGGGGAAGAAGUGCAAGAAGGAGGUAGAGAAGCCAGAGAGCAGCAAGACUCCCGUGUAAGCCAGUGCAACUGGGCCUCACGUGGUGCUGUAUUAGAAGAUCCAGGAGCCCAUGUGUGAUGGUUUAUAUUUGCUCUUCUCCAGAAGUGGCACUAAUAGAAGGUGUGGCCCCGUUGGAGUAGGUGUGGUCUUGUUGGAGUAGGUGUGUCACUGGGCAUGGGCUUUAAAACCCUCAUCCUAGCUGCCUGGAAUGGAGUAUUCUGCUAGCAGCCUUCAGACAAAGAUCUGAACUUUCAGCUCCUCCUGCACCAUGCCUGUCUGGACACUGCCAUGUUCUUGCCUUGAUGAUACUAGACUGAAACUCUGAACCUGUAAGCCAGCUCCAAUUAAAUGUUGUCCUUCAUAAGACUUGCCUUGGUCACGGUGUCUGCUCACAGCAGUAAAACCCUAACUAAGGCACCAUGGGAAAUGACUGAGUCUAUUAAAAAAUUAAAAUUAAUUAAUUAAUUAGUUAAUUAAAUUUUAAAAAGGCGAGCCUAGAUUUUUUAAUAGCAGGAAAUAAAAUAUUCAUAGAAUAAUGAGGAAAUAUGAAAAGACUUAAACAGUAGCUAGAACUUGUCAAAUAGGGUAAAAUUUGAAUUAUCAAGCAUACUCCUAGAUGAACAGGUACAGGCAAACAGUGAGUGCUGAGUGAGGGAGGCUCUGUCUUCUCCAGGGUAAGCCUGGGUUCUCCAACCCCACCUGGUCAGCCUUAAACACAUGUGCAUGUUAGAAACACUAAGUAGACCCAUUAGGUUUUACAUAUAGAUGAGCCCACUAUGUGGGAAUCUGGGAACUGAACCCAGGUCCUCUGCAACAGUAGCAAGUUCUCUGAACUGCUGAGCCAGCUCUCCUGCCUCUGAUGCAUAUACAUGUUUAAACCCAGCCUGAUAGAAUGGGUAUGUAUAGGAGAAUGAAUGGGUAGAGCCAUAGUAGGGCCAGACUUCUCAAUAUAAAAUACGAGUUUUAUUUUAAACUACAUAAUCAUAGUUAACUCUCCAGGAAAUAAAGCAGUUAGAAUACACUUAGCAGCCGCCUGGUGACCAGAGGACAAAUGUUCAGGAGAACAGAGAGGAAGGGUUAUUCUCAGGCUAAGGCUAGCAAAGGAUCUUCAGAGAAGGUAUCUUCUCAUCCUUAUGAUUACCCUCUGUGUAUGCCCCUCAAACUUUCCCUGCUGUCCUCAUUUCUAGUUUAUCCCCCAAGCCCACCCCAGAUCCUCAGGUGCUGUCCCUGCCAUCAGCACACAAAGGUACUUACUAUGCACCCCAGGUAACCCUGAGCACUCCGCAUACUUGUGGCAUUGUCUGGUUCACCUGUAGCCACCCUGUGACAUUCCGAGCAGCCCUUGGAGAACAGUAUGAAACACUACCUUCUCUGUAGAAACCUUGCUGGCCCAGGCCUGGGAAUCGCUUCUCCUCUGGGCUCUCAGGGCCCUUGUCAUCUGGUCACCAUUCAGCUGUUAAGACAUCAGACUGCAGUGACCUCACCAGUGCCUCAGGAAGGCUUGUCUUCUUCACCAAGCACUCAGACCAGGCUGGAAGGGGACAAGUGACCCAUAAACUUUAACAUAAUUAAAACAGAUAAAGAAAAGUUCUCGUGAAAAUACUAGACCAAGACAAUCAAGAAAAGGAUGGGUUUGAAGAGGGUGGGUACUCUUCAGGCUCCUCAGAGCCCUGGUGCUCAGCCUGUUGGACCUCUCCUCCAGCUCUGCUGCUUUCAAACACAUGGUUCUGGGUCCCUUGGGAAUGAGAAGUGUUUCCUGGGGAAAGGGUGCAAAAGAAUGGAGUAGUUGACUCAGGCCAUAGUGGCAGCUGCCGCUAUGUAAAAGUAGCUUUUCAGCCCCCCAAAUACGGCAACGGUGUGUUCUCCCUCUUUCCUGACAAUCAAAAUUGCAGCGAACGAUGGAAGCAAAAAGUGCAAGCCUUUCUCCUCCCCUUCUUUGAGGUCAGAUGUCUGUGUUCUUGUAACCACAGAAACCCAGAGAACAAUUCUCAUGUGCUUCUUUCAAACGGGAAAGAGCCGUCAUCACCUCCCUCCCUCCAAAUCAUCCAAGUUCAGAGUCACGCCACAGCCAGGAGAAAGAGGCAGUGGUUAUGUUUGGAAUGUAACACUAGAAGGCACAGCAGCCCCCCUUAUCAGCAAUUUUUUUCCAUGGUAUUACCUCCUGUGAACUCCCGUCUGAAAAGUUAAAUGGAAAAUUCAGAAAUAAGCAGUCUAUAAGUUACAAAUAACUUUCAUCGGAGUGUAUUAUCAUCGUUGUUCUGUUGCAUGAAUAGCUGUGUACUCUUUCAUUGUGCCUUGUUUAUGAACUAAAAGUUACUGGGCGUGUGAACAUAUAGGAAAAAGUAUACUGUACCAUGUAUGGAUGGGGGGUUGACAUUCUUAUCCAGGGCUCUAGAAGUAGCCCUUAGCCUAGAAUGAAUUUUGAUGUUUGGUAUUGAGUAACUUAACUUCAAUGAGAUGCUGGUAAGUGAUAAGCCAACAUAUAUGUAUUUAUGUAGCAUAUGUAUGUUUAUUUAUUUAUGAUUAUUUAUUCAUGUAUGUGUAUAUAGGUGUUUUGUCUGCAUGUAUACCCACCAGAGAAAGGUAUCAGAUUCCACAGGACAAUUACAGUCCCACAAUACAGUUGUGAGCCACCAUGUGGGUGCUGGGAAUUGAACUCAGGACCUCUGGAAGAGCACCCAGUGCUCUUAACUGCUAAUCCAUCUCUGCAGCCCCAAAGCUGGCUUUUACAUCAUUAUCCUGUGGCUGGCCACUGUCUCAGUCUGGAUGGCAGUGCACAUCUGUCCCACACCACUGAAAAGGUGCACAUUGUGGAGAUGGAUGAGACCUGGCAAUAAACUCCUCCCCGAGCCCCAGCAGGGAAGAUAGUAUUGCUGGGAGUGCUUGCCCACAGCACACUUCUGGCUUAUGGUCAGAGCGCCUCUGGGUUUCUGUGUGUUUAGUGAGGUCAUAUUCUCCUCCGCAUGAAGCUAUGAGUCAGCAUCAGAUCACACCGGUCUGCCAGCCCCUUGUGUCACUGUCCACAUCAUAAUCCUCGAGGUAUCCUGUCACCAUCCUGAACGCUUAGCCCUGGAGCUGCCUUCACAGAGGCUGCCAUCCCUCACCUUCCCCUCUCAGCUUCUUUCAUCCUAACUCCAUUUCCCCUGUCUCCUUUCUCCUUAUCUAAGAUGGCUACCUCCUGGCCAGCACCUCUGCCUCUUAUUUCCACAGCCAUGCAGGACACCAGACCCUUAACUCAUCACCAUCACCCACAAAAAGCCUGACAGGCCACUGGGUCUGUUACUCUCGCCAACAACCCCCUUCUCUGUCCUCUGGUGUGUUCUUGCUGCCCAGCAUCUUCAGGGCCCCCCGCCCCCAGCCAACCUGCUCCUUCCUACCUGUGUGCCCUUCUUCAGCAGACUGCCUGGCACCCCCAGACCACACCGCCAUCCUUGUCAGUACAUCCAUUUGUUCAGUCUUACACUCAGCACCUCCCCCUUGCUACCGUAACUCUCAUCAGACACCCCCACACACACACACCAGGUUCUCUCACUCACCUUACCAUGGCACCCCUUUUCACAUCUGGUUUCCUUGCUAGGGGUCUGAGACACUGAGACACUGACUUGGCCUUCAUCAACUUAAGGUCAUUCUAGGGUGUCACUUAGCACUUCUAUCUACAGUAUGGCUGUGCUAUUCCAGAUGGAGAGAGUGGACCAGCUUUAGUCUUUCUGGCUGUCACUUUCUCUGGGACCUCAUGAUUCAUCUCUCCCACAGGUGAGCUUUCCCUUCCAUCCCCAGGCCCUCCAUCCCACUGCUGAUACUCAAAGUCACAUGUGAUGUCAUCUGCCAGUCUCUCGAAGCUGACUGUUAAGGACUUUGGCCCCAUCCCUUCUCUGCAGCAGAACUGGCCCCUAACAUUGGUGAGCCCUGACUUCCUGGCCCAUGUGAAGGAUACCUAGGUAUUGGAACCUGUAAAAAAGACCACUUAAGCGCUUCUGUCAAGUAUGAAAAGCAAGGCAGGGAUCUGAACUUGUGGUUCUGAUUUUCCAAGGUCACCGGUGUUCCCAGGACUCUAGAGAGAGUGAGUUUGCCAUUGGCCGCAGGUGAAAUCACACAGUCCCUAAGCCUUGCUUCCUUUCCUUCAAGGCUGCAAGACUGGUGUACCAGGAAGAUGCCAAAAAUCCUUAUCUGCACUUCAAACAAGGUGUGUUUUAAUAGCCAUGUGAGCAAGGAGGAAAAAAAAACAACAUCUACAUUGAGGCAAAAUCAGGAGGAUUUGUAACUGGUGGUCUGUGCUAAGUAAUGCUGAAUAUUGGAUGGAUCUCUGUAGGAGGAGAUGUUCGGUAAAGGUCCGAGACCAGCUGCAUUUGAUGCUUCUCCAAUUUCCUAAUGACAAUACAGACAGGGCACUUACAGACACAGAGAUAACCGACAGAAGGCAUUUGCAGACAUGUAGAUGAUACAGACAGAACACGUCCAGACAUGUAGCUGAUUCAGACAGAACGUUUACAGACACAAAGAUAAUAUAGACAGAAUGUUUAUAGAAUGUAGACAAUAUAGACAGGGAGUUUGCAGACAUAUAGAUGAUGAUUAUGAGUGUGAUUGUGGGGCUGGGGAGGUAGGUCAGCUGAUAAAGUGCUUGUUGUAAAAGUAUGGUGACUGGAGUGUGAUCUCCAGGGCCCAGACACAGUGGUUCAUGCUGUAACCCCAGGGCUGGGAUAGCAGAGCCUGGACACAGUGGUUCAUGCUGUAACCCCAGGACCAGGAUAGCAGAGCCUGGGCACAGUGGCUUAUGUUGCAAUCCCAGUGCCAGUCCAUAUUAAUCAGUGAGCUCCAAGUCAUUGAGACACUGUGACCCCCCCCCUUUCAAACAAAACAAAAACCAAAACAACCCAUCAAACAAAAAAACUAAAGUAGAUGACGCCUGAGGAGUAGCACCUAAAGUUGACCUUUGUCCUCCACACUUUGAACAUACAUACAUGUGUCUGCACACACAAUAGCACGCAUGCACAUACUCCACAAAGUGAUCUUAGGAUAACUAAUUAGAAUUCAAAUCAGCUCAUUGAUGGAUUCCAGCAAGGAAAAUUCAUCAAAAACAAUAUUGAGAGCUAGCAGCAGUGACACACACCAAUAAUGUCAGCACCUGCAGAGGUUAAUGCGGGAGGACUAAGGGUUCAAGACCAGUCUUCUAUGAUACAGCACUUCUGAGAAGACCUCACAGACAAACCAACAGAUCAACGAUAGUCAACAGAAGUUAUGGAGAAAAAUGAUAGUAGGUUCCACCUGAAGUUCAAAGUGAGGAGAAACUAACUGUCCCUUGUUUAGAGGAAUGCCCAUGGGGGUGGAAGAUGGAGAAAAGCAAGAAAAAGUUAGGAAAAAGUUAAGAGCUGUAGGAAUGGAGCAAACUGUCCAAAGCAGGCUUUCGGCGGGGGAGGGGGGCGGUGCUGUUCUGAUCUUGGUUAGGGAUGUCUGUCAUUUGGUGACUCUUUAAAUGACUGUAUUUGUUCACAUACUCUUUUAUAUAUUCGUUGCUAAUCUUUUUAAAGGGAUACCUUUAAAGUCUUAUACCAGAGUGCAGGAAAUAUCAAAUCCCAGAAUAAUCCAGUCAAGCAGAGCAUCCUCUGUGCCAUGCUCUGCCCAUCUCAGGUCCUGGCUGGAGACCCUGCAGAGCCCAAGGGCUGUUCUGAGGACUCAGGCGUACUGGAGUUGUUGGGGGCCCACACCCCACAGGAUGUGAGGAGCCUGCUUUCCUAUUGGAUUGUAACAAAUGAAGUGUUGAGGAGUGGCCACAGGUGGCAGCUGACAGCUGUUUUCAAACCUCCCAAGCUGUUAUUCUACAGGGGAAUCUGGCCUGGUCUCUGCAGUGCCAGAUGCCAGGAUGGCGACUAGCUGAAUCCACUGUGUGGCUGACCCUGGAUAAACAGCCUAACUUCCUAACAAAAGAAAACCUGUGCGAAGUCCUGAGCUCCUGUCCCAGACAAGGUUCAGGUCUCCUGUUUAGGCCACUGCAAAGGGUACCCCAGAAAAGUAAGAGAGCUCAGAUAAUCCCUGAAGUCCCUUCACCUUCGAUCCACGAGAUGAGACUGUGACACUUGUACUUUGUGUGCACAUAAGAGAAACAGACCCUGGACCAGCCUUGUUUUCGAAUACAAGCGCCAUGUCUUCUUGAUAGCAAGACUGUUUUUUAAAGUCAAUGAGUGUUGUUGUAUUUCUACUAAUCCAAUGAUAAAGUGAUCUGAGACACCACUGCUGCCCAAGAGUGUAAGUCGUCCAGAUGGCUGCAGGAUACUGUGUUCAACAGCUAGAGUAUUUGCAGGAGUGUGAUGGGGAUUCACAGACUUACCAGAAACAGAAACCGAGACUGGCUUGCUCUCUCCUGCCCUCUGCUGGUCCUCCCCUCCAUCUCUAAUUUGUGUAGGAUGCUGAUGGUCCCUGAUUGGGAGGGUACAAAUUAAGAGCGUCUAUCCCCCAGAGAUACAAAGUUCCAGAGAACGACAAACCUUUGGAUAAGGGCUUGGAGAAAGCCUGUCAAUUCAAAUCAACAAGAUCCUGCUUAGAACUGAGAGGUCGUCUGUGAGCAAUGGAAGCACUUGAAGCCAACCUAUAAAAAUGUGGACAUUUUUAUCUAGAGCUCUAGAUUUUUAACACCAUAUUAGUGAGUGAUCAUGGUGUCUUAAAAUAGAGAGCAAGAAGUGGUUUGUACAACUGUAGUCCUGUUCCAAGACAUGGCAGUGUGGGUCUUGCCAAGUGACAGCAAAGCCAGUCACCUCCACAGCCUUUUAAGGCACAACUCAAAAGGGACACACAGAGCACACAGAAGUGAAUCCAUAGACUUUCAGGGUGGCAGCAGUUCCUCAAUACUCAGCAUCCUUCAAGAACCUAUGGCUGGCCUGGGGUAGGCAAGGUCCAAGUCCUAGGGAGAGAUAAGCAGGUCAUCUCCCAGCGAGGCUUCACUGUGCCUGCAGGUCCAUCUUUGGUAUGGUCUCCCAUAGAGACUGAACCUGCCUGGGGAGUUCCAUAGACAGGACACAGGUUGGAACUGUCCACAGUGGCCAGGCGAAGAGACAAUGCUACAGUUGACCAAACUGAACAGGCCUCAUUUGGUGCAUAGAAUUUCCUUCUGGUUAAAUGAAGCAACAGGAGAAAGGUGGGUUACAGGCAAAGUAAAUUGAGCCUUCACUAGGAAGACUGGCCUACCAAGGCAAGUGGGCUCCAGACUCAGGGACAGGCAUAAAGGAGAUACUAGAAAUCACCCUGGAUCAGAUGUGGCAUCUACUACUUGUUCUGAGAGAGCUCCAAGAACCCACAGGAGAACCUUGAACAAUAGCACUGUGUCAUCUGUUCUUGGAGACCACCAGCACCCAGACAGCCUUUCCCCCUUUAUCCAGUCCCUAACCUCUACCCCAUCCUGAACUAUUCAGUAGCUGACCCCUUAGAGCUGGCUGCUGGGGAAGAGGCAGAGGGAAGGUUCAGGCCUGGAGGUGGGGAAGGGGGCUUGAAGAUAUAUAUGAUUGUUUCAUUAGGAAGUUUUGGUUAAAAUGAGAAGAGAAAUGUUUUAAAAGGAAGCAGUUCUUGGGGCUGGAGAGAUGGCUCAGCAGUUAAAAGCACUGGCGGCUCUUCCAGAGGUCUUCAGUUCAAAAUCCCAGCAACCACAUGGUGGCUCACAACCAUCUGUAAUAAUAUCCAAUGCCCUCUUCUGGUGUGUCUGAAGACAACUACAGUGUACUUAUAUAAUAAUAAAUAAAUAAAUCUUUAAAAAAAUUA